UACAGGGGGUGCAAGCGUUGUUCGGAAUUACUGGGCGUAAAGCGCGGGCAGGUGGCCUUUUAAGUCCUUUGUGAAAUCCCGGAGCUCAACUCCGGAUGUGCAUAGGAUACUGGAAGGCUUGGGACUGGUAGAGGCGAGCGGAAUUCCUGGUGUAGCGGUGGAAUGCGUAGAUAUCAGGUGGAACACCGAUGGCGAAGGCAGCACUCUGGCCGAAUACUGACGCUGAAGCGCGAAAGCUGGGGGAGCGAACGGG
rnacentral:rRNA from 1 species